rnacentral:rRNA from 1 species
GACGAACGCUGGCGGCGUGCUUAACACAUGCAAGUCGAACGGAAAGGCCCCCACCUUGGUGGGGGUGCUCGAGUGGCGAACGGGUGAGUAACACGUGGGUGAUCUGCCCUGUACUUCGGGAUAAGCUUGGGAAACUGGGUCUAAUACCGGAUAGGACCAUGGUUUAGUGUCUCAUGGUGGAAAAAUUAUUGUUUUGGUGCAGGAUGAGCUCGCGGCCUAUCAGCUUGUUGGUGGGGUAAUGGCCUACCAAGGCGUCGACGGGUAGCCGGCCUGAGAGGGUGGACGGCCACAUUGGGACUGAGAUACGGCCCAGACUCCUACGGGAGGCGGCAGUGGGGAAUAUUGCACAAUGGGCGCAAGCCUGAUGCAGCGACGCCGCGUGGGGGAUGACGGCCUUCGGGUUGUAAACUCCUUUCGUUAGGGACGAAGCCACACCUUUUUUGGGUGUGGUGACGGUACCUUUGUUAAGAAGCACCGGCUAACUACGUG